CCCAAUUUUGAAUCAUUUGCGUCGAAUCCAACAAAGAUGACGAAGCUAUGGCGGACCAACUCAUAGACGAGCAGAUCUCCGAGUUUAAGGAAGCCUUUAGAGGAUGGUGAUGGUUAAAUCUCUUCUCACACCACCUUUUUAUAUAUAUAUAUAUAUAUAUAUAUGUGUGAAUCUGCGAGCAUAUCUCGUUUUUCUUCCAUUUUCAUAUGCAAACUGCAAUCGAUGAUUAUAAAAUGAUAGAGCCAUGAAUUUGAGUCGAUACUCGCUUUAGAUUCGGUGUAUCCUCUCUGAGUAGUUUUUGUUGGAUUCGUUUUUGCUUUUUGAUCUUGUCGAGCAUCUUCUCCAAAUGACCAGAGCUUCAACGAGUAUGGUGUCUCUAACUUAUUACCCACCAUCUCCUCUUCCUACGAAGAAACCAACGAGUAUCAUUGUCAGAACAGAAAGCUGAAACCAAAACCAGCAAUUACGAAAACAACGGCGAGGCAAGAAGCCCACGAUAACUCAGAUCGAGCUAGCAUUUGGUGCUGGAUCGUAUCAUGAUUCUGAAGGGAACUGGGUGAGAAUACAGUAUUCGAGAAAUUGGAUCAUGAUAAUAAUUUCGAAGGAAAACUUAAGAAGAAGCUUACGAGAGAUCGGAGAAAUGUUUUGUUCCUACGGUAAACCAGUUUUGUAAAAAAUCAUUCAUUUUCUCCAAAAGAUGGAGAAUUCUGUUCCCGCUCAUGAAUCUUCUCUUCGCUCCACAACAUCACCUCGAUCACUCAGAUUUCAUGCAUCUUCAAUCAAGGUAAAAUACAGAGACGAAAAAGGAGGGACAAGUUUCAGGAAAGCUUCAAGGCCUUUGUUGAUAAAACCAUGUCUCUACAAAGCAGCAUCAAGAAAUUCUCACUAAACUGACGACACAAUCUUAACGACAUGGCUCAGACUAACUGAUGGGUAUCCACUGUAUUAGAACGAGGCGUCUUGAAUCUGUGAGCCACCACGUUCUCUUCCUUCCAUUGUCUUCACAAGCAAGACGCUGGUUAAACUGACAUUAGGAACAGAGCUUUGUGCCGGAGACAGAUCUCCAAAAGUGUUUCUUCCACUGCUAACGUAUCUCUUCCUCAAUACAGUUUUAAGUCUUAGAGAAUGAUUUUUACAAUAUUUAGGAAGCCAUUACUAAAUGUAUAAGAACCUGUACCAAAAUUUGACGAAUGUUUUCUUCAAGGAUUCUUGAAAAGUUUAUGAAUCCUUUCCAGAGUUUU